AAUCUCAUAUCCCCACAAAAUAAAUACCAACUUAUUGCUCUAAGCAGUUAUUCAAAUUUAAAAUUUAAAUUUGAAAUAUGAACCCAACACAGUUUUUGUUAGCUCAAAGGGACCAGUAUUCUGUCAUAUAGCGGGAGGUCACGUUGGAUCUGGUCAUGUUUGAAAUGGCGGUGGGAUGUCGGGAGACUAGUUAGGCCGAAUCACAGUCAAGACCUACGAACGCUGUAUCUGUACACUUUAAAUGAAAUGAACUGGUUGUAUUUUUUUAAGAGCUCAAAAUUUUGAAAUUAAUGAUUAAUUAGAGCCGAUGAUUGGA
rnacentral:lncRNA from 1 species